GGUAACAGUAGAGUUAAUGAAGCUUGGUUUCCUAUUAAUUGUGGUCUUUGCCGUUCAGCUCCUCCUUUCUCUCCCUGUUUAAGUCCUGAAUGACACCCUCACCCAGCAAAGAAAGCUUCCUCCCCAUAGCAUGUGCUGUAUUCUCUGAGCAACCGACUGUGGAACAGAAAAGUUUUGCCUUGUUGCCUCUGAGUGUCACUUCCAAGGAAUUUCUGCUUAUUGUAAGGACUUCUGCUUGUCUUUCAAAUUUGGUUGAAAUGUGAGUGUUCAUUUCAGAAGUUUUUGUGGGGAUCAAGAGGAGAAUUUGCCUGAUUGGAAGCUUGUCCUUCUUAGGAAACUGGGUUAAAUGUUGCAGCAGCCAAACAGAAGUAAAUGUAACAGUAGUAAAAAAAAUUCCAACAUGGUAGUAAAUUAUAGUCAUUUGAAGAUGCCAUGUUGACUCUUGGGGAAAAGCCCGAAGGGCACUUCUGGACUGUUUAGGUGCUGAGAAUUUGCCUUAGCACUUAGUGCCUUGCAGGAUCAUGGUAAUGUACUGAGGUUAGGAGUGCAAACUCAAGUAUUUGCAUUGUCGAGCUCACCUGGGCAUCACCUCUGGCCUUUGUAUGCAAGGUCUUGGAAGGGACACAGAGCAAGCUCAUGCCUACACCAGGGAAGUUAUUCUUUCACCAGGUGUCACCUACUAAUGCUCCUGCAUACUUGGAUAGGCUUUCCUCAUUGUUUCUGUAUCUUGCUCUUCAUAUGUAAUAUGAUUCUUCUGAGCUUUCCUACACAGAGCAGGAAUCACUCCUGACACAUGCUAAAUGUACUGAUCGACAGGAAUAAUGCCCAAUCUAUUGCUGACUGCACAAAGAGUAGAAAUCCACUAGUUAUUUCCAAGAAAUACUUUCUAUUUAUGAAAUAAAAUCUUGGAAGCAUAUAUUUUAUCAGAAUAUUGAAACAUUUAUAAAUCGUUUCCUUAGAAAAAUGUGAAUCUUACUUAUAAAGUGCUUUAUAUUUCCUCAGAGUCCAUUCAUGACCUUAAAAUAAUUAAACUAUGUGCAGUACCAGCACUGGUGUUAUUACUUAAGUAAGGAUUCAGUCCAGAGGAAGCAAAAAAAACCCCAAAACUUUACUGCUUUCCAUACCUGUUGGAGUCGGAAUUUUAUUGUGAGUGGCAGCUACAAAGAUUGGUACCACUUCCAUUUAAUAUACCUCUUAAAGGUGUGGACCUUAUGAUAUUACAGUUAACAUUUACUCUUGUUCCAAGUAAUGAAAGCAGGCUAGUCCAAACUAGCCUUGUAGGUUGCCUGGUGGAAAGCUUAGUUUCGUGAAACACAUUUAGAUCUAUGGUUUAUACCAGAGGACUUUCUUCUGCCCAGAUCUGUUCCUUACAACACCCACUGAAUUGUAGAUAAAUCUGCCUAAGGCUGGAACACCAGUUUCAUUGAAACAAUCAGGGUGUUUCACAUUUUAUUCUGCUGCCACAGCAGAUCAUUCAUGCAGAGUUCCCUACAGGACUGCAGACUAUCUUUAGAUUAUUUAAAACAUUCAUGAUAGUGCAUAGUCAGGGAUGAUCAUCUACUGCCCAAUUUGUCUUCCCUCAAUACCCCUGAUUUAGUGGCAUCAUACAUCUUCUGAGCACUUAGAAUCUACAUUGGGUCAGAAAAUGCUAGAAAGGGGAGCAGUAGUUGCUGUUUCUUUAAUACUUAAGGAGUUACAUACAUUUGAAAAAAUGCAGCUUCAUCAAAAUCACUUUUGCCUGAACUCCUAAAUAUAUGAAAGAAGGGACAUAAGUAUUUAUUCCUAUAACUAGUUGCUGGUGUUAUUAACUAAUGAAAUACAUGGUAUAGUAGUUAGCUUUGCCAUUAAUUUAUAACAGCACAGUUCAGGAAGCACACUGGAUUACAUUUUGAAGAUUAUUCUAAUGUUAAGAUAUUAUUUUGGCUGACAAAACCUGCUAUAAUGGUUUCUAAACUCUUGGCUUGCUAGAAACUUGACAUAUCUUAACCCCCCCCUCCAGGCAUGUGCUUAGGGUUUGAUUCCGCCAGAUGACCUCAGGAAGCUACUGCAGUGAGCUUAAGUUGCUCUUUGUAAAGUCGAGAAUGGAGCCAGAAUGAGACCCUUACAAAGGCUUUUUGAAGACACUUUUCUACAUACCACCUUCAUUUGCUAAGUUACAUUGUAAAAAAUGCCCAGAGUUUAUUAGUCAGAUACAGGUCUUCAGCAAGGCAGUUUCAAUUGUUUAUAAAUACCUUUUAAUUUCCAUCUAUACCAUAUUCAGAGUGUGUCAUUACAAGGAGAACUACUAGUAUGGUAAGGCUAUCAAUAACAGCUCAAGGUCAAUAGCUGAUGACUGAAGAAAUAACCAUAACAAGCUUUAGAAACAAUCUAGUCAGUGUAAGAACUGGGUUUCAAAGGUGAUAGCAAUCCUGUAGACAUCAGUUUGCCAGUCCUCAGGACUUUGAAGGGAUCUCAGGGUCAGAAGUGUAUGAACAGGUAUCAUUCUCAAGGAUCUUGGAUUGGCCACCUGCAGCUGAGACCUCCCGUAUUAUUUGCAAAUCACAGAUAAAUCACUUUUUGUUUCAGAGAACCAUUUUGCAAGGAGCAUAACCUUGAAAGUGCAUGCCAAAAGGUAUUUUUGUCCUUCUGAGCCAAUUGAAACAGGUCAGGGGAUGCAAACUGCAUGUGCCCAGCUUGAAGAUGACACCAAACAAAGACAGGACUGUAAGCACGCUGGAGAUCUUGCAUUGAAAUUAAGAUUAAAAUUCAAAGUGAUCUUGCAAAUUGAAGAACAUGUUUGAAAAAAAUUACAUGUUAUGCGACAGCGAAAAUCACCAUUCCACACAGGACAGACAGAAAAUAGCCUGCAUAAACAUUCUUCUGCAGAAGCAGAACAGGACAUGCCACUAUGAAGACUGGAAAUGCCAUGUAUGUUUGUAUUAAAACAGUACAUCCCAAA